rnacentral:rRNA from 1 species
AACGAACGCUGGCGGCGCGUUUUAAGCAUGCAAGCCGAACGGGAUCUGAGGUGCUUGCACCUUGGUGAGAGUGGCGAACGGGUGAGUAACGCGUAGGUGAUCUACCCUUGAGUUGGGGAUAGCCCAUGGAAACAUGGGGUAAUACCGAAUGCCCUCUUUCAUUUCGUUGGAAGAGAAAAGGAGCGUUUGCUUCGCUUGGGGAUGAGCCUGCGUAUGAUUAGCUUGUUGGUAGGGUAAUGGCCUACCAAGGCGACGAUCAUUAGCCGGCCUGAGAGGGUGACCGGCCACAUUGGGACUGAGACACGGCCCAG